UACAGAGGUCGCAAGCGUUGUUCGGAAUUACUGGGCGUAAAGGGCGCGUAGGCGGCCUCCUAAGUCGGACGUGAAAUCCCCAGGCUUAACUUGGGAACUGCCAUUGAUACUAUCAGUCUUGAAUACCGUGGAGGUCAGCGGAAUAUGUCAUGUAGCGGUGAAAUGCUUAGAUAUGACAUAGAACACCAAUUGCGAAGGCAGCUGGCUACACGAAUAUUGACACUGAGGCACGAAAGCGUGGGGAUCAAACAGG
rnacentral:rRNA from 1 species